rnacentral:rRNA from 1 species
GUGCCAGCCGCCGCGGUAAUACGGAGGGUGCGAGCGUUAAUCGGAAUUACUGGGCGUAAAGCGCAUGCAGGCGGCCUGUUAAGUCAGAUGUGAAAGCCCGGGGCUUAACCUCGGAAUUGCAUUUGAAACUGUCCAGCUAGAGUCUUGUAGAGGGGGGUAGAAUUCCAGGUGUAGCGGUGAAAUGCGUAGAGAUCUGGAGGAAUACCGGUGGCGAAGGCGGCCCCCUGGACAAAGACUGACGCUCAGGUGCGAAAGCGUGGGGAGCAAACAGGAUUAGAAACCCGCGUAGUCC